GUAGGUGGCAAGCGUUGUCCGGAAUUAUUGGGCGUAAAGCGCGCGCAGGCGGUCCUUUAAGUCUGAUGUGAAAGCCCACGGCUCAACCGUGGAGGGUCAUUGGAAACUGGGGGACUUGAGUACAGAAGAGGAAAGCGGAAUUCCAGGUGUAGCGGUGAAAUGCGUAGAGAUUUGGAGGAACACCAGUGGCGAAGGCGGCUUUCUGGUCUGUAACUGACGCUGAGGCGCGAAAGCGUGGGGAGCAAACAGGAUUAGAUACCCUGGUAGUCCACGCCGUAAACGAUGAGUGCUAAGUGUUAAGGGGGUUUCCCGCCCCCCUUAGUGCUGCAGCUAACGCAUUAAGCACUCCGCCUGGGGAGUACGGCCGCAAGGCUG
rnacentral:rRNA from 1 species